CCUACGGGUGGCAGCAGUGAGGAAUAUUGGUCAAUGGGCGCGAGCCUGAACCAGCCAAGUAGCGUGAAGGAUGACGGCCCUACGGGUUGUAAACUUCUUUUAUAAGGGAAUAAAGUGAGGCACGUGGGCCUUUUUGUAUGUACUUUAUGAAUAAGGCUUGGCUAACUCCGGGCCAAAAGCCGCGGUAAUACGGGGGAUUCGGACGUUAUCCGGAUUUAUUGGGUUUAAAGGGAGCGUAGAUGGGUUGUUAAGUCAGGUGUGAAAGUUUGCGGCUCAACCGGCAUACUGCAAUUGAUACUGGCAGUCUUGAGUGCAGUAGAGGUAGGCGGAAUUCGUGGUGUAGCGGUGAAAUGCUUAGAUAUCACGAAGAACUCCGAUUGCGAAGGCAGCUUACUAAGCUGCCACUGACGUUGAUGCACGAAAGUGUGGGUAUCAAACAGGAUUAGAUACCCCUGUAGUC
rnacentral:rRNA from 1 species